AAUCUGAGAUGUGUCAUCUCGGUGCUGAGGAAUGUGCAUUGGAGGCAGUGCUGGAGGUGACACUGUUGCUCAAGUAUGGCUGGUUAUGGUUAUGAAGCAGGCUGCGCCUGCUUCAUCCGUGGACAGAUGCUCACUCUGCCUGCCCCAACUCUUCUUGCUGCCACAGUUCUCCCUUUGGCUCUGCCAGCAGAAGAUGUCACUGUUCUCAAACCUGCACCCUUCCGAAAACAAGAGCUUCCUGUCUUGUCUCGUCCCCUGCAUGACUUCUGCUGGAAAGGUUGCCAAACAGGCCAUGAAAGAACCAAAUGCCAGCAAGUUUGAUGCUUUUCUUGCUAUCUUCUCAUGUGCAGGGCUGAUGUGA
rnacentral:lncRNA from 1 species